rnacentral:rRNA from 1 species
AAAGUCGUAACAAGGUUUCCGUAGGUGGGGGGCCGUGCGGGGUCUUG